CCCUAGCCCCGAUUGAAGCUUUGUUUGAGCUCAUUUUCGGGGUAUUUUUUUCGGCUGCGGCGGCAAAGCCGCCGCAGCCGAAAAAAAUAUCCCCAAAAUAGCGAGUGCGGAAAGCGGGAAAAAGC
rnacentral:misc_RNA from 1 species